rnacentral:piRNA from 1 species
UGGACAUUUCUGCCUGCUGGCUUCAGGAU